AUCCAGCUGAUGAGUCCAAAAUAAAAACGAAACGCGCGUCCUGGAU
rnacentral:hammerhead_ribozyme from 1 species